GACGUAGGCGGCGAACGUUAUCCGGAAUUAUUGGGCGUAAAGGAUGCGUAGAUGGUGUAGUAAGUUAUCGGUGGCAAAUCGAGGCUCAACCUCGUGGAAGUCGGUAAUACUGCUAUGCUAGAGGAUAGGAGAGGUUAACGGAACUCCCUGUGGAGCGGUGAAAUGCGUAGAUAUAGGGAAGAACACCAAUCAGGCGAAGGCAGUUAACUAUUCUAUUCCUGACAUUGAGGCAUGAAAGCGUGGGGAGCAAAACGG
rnacentral:rRNA from 1 species